UGAAAGUUUAGAAGCUAAAUUGAGCAUUUAUUCUGGUUUCCUUCAGAGACAAUAGCCUGGCAUUGAAUUAGAAACCAUUCUCAGACAAGAAAUUGCUAAAUUCUGAAAUUUCAAUUUCAACAAUUCAAAUUCUAAUCCUAACAAAAUUAAAGUUUACAAAUCAUCCAUAAAAGAAAAUGAAAGAAAAGAAAGAAAAAUCACAGGCUGCUUUUAUCGCUGGGAACCAAUCACAAGUGAUUUGCAUUGUCGUUGUGGUAUGAGGAUGAAAAUAACCGUUAACAACAAAAUCAAAAACGACAAAAUCAAGGAAAAAGACAAACAGAUCGAUAAUUAAUCAAAAUCACAUCUGACAAUUUCCAUCUGAGUAUCAGAUCAAAUCAAGAUCAGAAAAAAUCAAAAUUGGGUAAACUGGGUUUGAUCUUAUCUUAUGAAGAGAAAGGAACGCUGUUUGGAUUGGGUCGGCCGCUUGGCGUUGAAAUUGAUGAAACAGACGAAUUAGAGAUUGAAUUGCAAAACAUAAGCGGCCGAUCAUGUGCCUCCUCCGCAUCUUCGGCAUCAUCGGCGGUGGAAAGGUUAAUACAAGCGCACCGUUCCAGGGAGGCGAAAAACGCCGACACUACGCUCAUCCCCACCCAUUUGAGCUUCUCGUACGACCAGCAAUUUCCCAUGGUAUUAUCCAUAGCGCUUCUUCUUGAUCGAUUCUUUUAAUAUUAUGUGGUUUUUGAAGGAGAAACCAAGAAAAUGAAGGAUUUUUGUUUCUGGGUUAUUGAAAUUCAGAGCAAGAGGACAAGGAAAGAAAGUUGGACAUGAAAAUCAAACGUUAAAUAUUCCUCAGGGUACCAUCUGGUCCAAUGUUAAUUUAUAUUUUAAUAUUAAAUUGAUAAUAAUUGUAACAAAAUUAUGCAAUUAACUUGAGUUUAUCAAUGUUUUGCUUUUGACCAAAAAUAUAAAUGUGCAAAAUAUGAGUAAUUGUUUUAUCCAAAAAUAUAGCAACCAUUUCUUUAAAACAAAC
rnacentral:lncRNA from 1 species